GACCAUAUUUCUAUCACCUCUCUAUGGUCGCGGCUG
rnacentral:ncRNA from 1 species